AAAAAAUAGAAAUAUAAAAGAAAAUAAAAUAAAUAGCAAAGAAAGAAUUACACAAUAGAAAGAAAAGAGAGAAGAGAAAAAAAAACGGUGUGAAAAACGCAAAGCAACCAGCAUCAGUGAAAAAAUGAAAACAAAAACAAAAAACAAAGAAACAAUCAUCAGAGAAGAAUGAACGAAGGAGGAGGAAGAAAGAACUAGGUUUAAUACCUAUUUUGGUCCCUCUUUUUGGGGGGUUUGUUCAAAGUGGUCCUCCCUUUUUUAAAAAGUUCACUAAAGUCCUACUUUUUGCAAAAACUGUGCAAGUUAGUCCUUUUUGCUAACGGCGUUAAUUCUGCUAACGGCAAAACUGCCAGCUGACAAAUAUUUGAUGACUUGUACAAAUAAAAAUCGUUGUAG
rnacentral:lncRNA from 1 species